GACGAACGCUGGCGGCGUGCCUAAUACAUGCAAGUCGAACGCUGAAGGAAGGAGCUUGCUCUUUCCGGAUGAGUUGCGAACGGGUGAGUAACGCGUAGGUAACCUGCCUGGUAGCGGGGGAUAACUAUUGGAAACGAUAGCUAAUACCGCAUAACAGUAGAUGUUGCAUGAUAUCUACUUAAAAGGUGCAAUUGCACCACUACCAGAUGGACCUGCGUUGUAUUAGCUAGUUGGUGAGGUAACGGCUCACCAAGGCGACGAUACAUAGCCGACCUGAGAGGGUGAUCGGCCACACUGGGACUGAGACACGGCCCAGACUCCUACGGGAGGCAGCAGUAGGGAAUCUUCGGCAAUGGACGGAAGUCUGACCGAGCAACGCCGCGGGAGUGAAGAAGGUUGUCGGAUCGUAAAGCUCUGUUGUAAGGGAAGAACGAGUGUGAGAGUGGAAAGUUCACACUGUGACGGUAGCUGACCAGAAAGGGACGGCUAACUACGUG
rnacentral:rRNA from 1 species